AAGGAAAGAGCAUGUUCCUCUGAGGCAGGAACAUUCCUCUGGGAACCGCAGGGCGUGGUGGUGACGUGAGGACAUGGGCAGGCAGAGCAGCGACCGGAUGGACAGCAACAGUGGGGAGCCUGACAGCCGUGGGAGCAGAGCCCUGCACAGCUGUGUGGGGGUGUGGAGGCCCGGGGGGCCGGGUGUGGAGAUCCUCAGAGCAGGCUGGGGCACACGGAGCCUAGUGCCACUGUGAUGCGUCACCUGUCCUCCAGGCUGCUGGGACUUGGGGAAAUGACUGUUACCAUGCAUGUAGAUGGAUCUGUUAUGUUUAGAACGUCUUCCUCCAAACUAGGCUGUCUAAAUGUACUCUUCUACUGCUAUAGCUGCCUUUCCAAAAGUCUCCUGUGCAGGAUGCAGGAAUCCAGACGUGGCUGACUGUUGCUGGGGGACUGCAGGUGGGGCUCAGAGAGCCUUCGGGUUGCCUGGCGCCGGUGAAGUUCCUCCCGCAGGAGAGCUGGCUCCAGGGGCAGUGGCCUCGCUAUACCCAGGCUGCUCAUGCAGACGGCCUCCCUGAGGUUCAAGCCAGGAAUAGGGAGUGACAACUGUGAGAACUCAAGCUUAGCUUUUUUUCCCAGCAAUUCUUUUCAAAAUUUUAAUUUUAGCAGUUUUUAAUUAUGUAAUGAAUACCUGCAUAUAUUCUCUGUACACAUUUAAGCAUUACAAAUAAAGUGGGAAUCCACUUUGACUGCCAUUCCUGAUUCCAUCCCUGUGGCUGAAUAAAAUAUAAGUUUAUUUUACAGAC